rnacentral:lncRNA from 1 species
GGGUUUGAAUGGUAACCAAGGGAACGAAAAGGAACACUACAUUCCUUAACGUUUCUCAAAAAUGUUACCAUUCAUGAGGAAUAUUUUUUCCUCUUCAUUCCUCAUCAUUCCCUUUUUUGUAGAGAAUUAUAAUGCAAAUUUGUUCCUUGUUAAUUUUGAUAAGGAACUCUCAUUCCUCAUCAUUCCCAAAUUUUUAUUCCUAUUCAUUCUUUUCCUAUUCAUUCCUAAUGUUCUUCGAUGGUUACCAGUCACACCCU